rnacentral:rRNA from 1 species
AGUGAACGCUGGCGGUAGGCCUAACACAUGCAAGUCGAACGGCAGCACAGUAAGAGCUCGCUCUUACGGGUGGCGAGUGGCGGACGGGUGAGGAAUACAUCGGAAUCUACUUUUUCGUGGGGGAUAACGUAGGGAAACUUACGCUAAUACCGCAUACGACCUACGGGUGAAAGCAGGGGAUCUUCGGACCUUGCGCGAUUGAAUGAGCCGAUGUCGGAUUAGCUAGUUGGCGGGGUAAAGGCCCACCAAGGCGACGAUCCGUAGCUGGUCUGAGAGGAUGAUCAGCCACACUGGAACUGAGACACGGUCCAGACUCCUACGGGAGGCAGCAGUAGGGAAUAUUGGACAAUGGGCGCAAGCCUGAUCCAGCCAUACCGCGUGAGUGAAGAAGGCCUUCGGGUUGUAAAGCCCUUUUGUUAGGGAAGAAAAGCAGCAUGUUAAUACCCCGCUAUUCUGACGGUACCCAAAGAAUAAGCACCGGCUAACUUCGUG